AGUAGAAUAAAGAAUAAAGAGAAACAGGAACUCAAUAGUGUGGAAGCCCUUUUAGGGCAUCCACACAAUAAAGAGAAACAGGAAAGCAAUAGUGUGGAUGCCUUGAGGCAUCCACACAAUAAAGAGAAACAGGAACUCAAUAGUGUGGAAGCCCUUUUAGGGCAUCCACACAAUAAUAAAUCCGAGGAAUAGUAAUAAGUGUGCCUCUUGGCAUAGGCACACUUAAUAAUAAAUCCGACGAAUAGUAAUAAGUGUGCCUCUUGGCAUAGGCACAUUUAAUAAUAAAUCCGAGGAAUAGUAAUAAGUGUGCCUCUUGGCAUAGGCACACUUAAUAAUAAUAAUAAUAAUAAAUCUGACGAAUAGUAAUAAGUGUGCCUCUUGGCAUAGGCACACUUAAUAAUAAUAAGAAGAAUAAAUCCGACGAAUAGUAAUAAGUGUGCCUCUUGGCAUAGGCACACUUAAUAAUAAUAAUAAUAAUAAUAAUAAUAAAUCCGAGGAAUAGUAAUAAGUGUGCCUCUUGGCAUAGGCACACUUAAUAAUAAUAAGAAGAAUAAAUCCGACGAAUAGUAAUAAGUGUGCCUCUUGGCAUAGGAACACUUAAUAAUAAAUCCGACGAAUAGUAAUAAGUGUGCCUCUUGGCAUAGGCACACUUAAUAAGAAUAAUAAAUCCGACGAAUAGUAAUAAGUGUGCCUCUUGGCAUAGGCACACUUAAUAAUAAUAAUAAUAAUAAUAAUAAUAAUAAUAAUAAAUCCGACGAAUAGUAAUAAGUGUGCCUCUUGGCAUAGGCACACUUAAUAAUAAAUCCGACGAAUAGUAAUAAGUGUGCCUCCUGGCAUAGGCACACUUAAUAAAUCCGACGAAUAGUAAUAAGUGUGCCUCUUGGCAUAGGCACACUUAAUAAUAAAUCCGACGAAUAGUAAUAAGUGUGCCUCUUGGCAUAAGCACACUUAAUAAUAAUAAAUCCGACGAAUAGUAAUAAGUGUGCCUCUUGGCAUAGGCACACUUAAUAAAUCCGUGGAAUCGUAAUAAGUGUGCCUCUUGGCAUAGGCACACUUAAUAAAACAGGUAGCUGCUUCAGUGUUUCUGUCAAUUUGUGCAGAUCUUGACUCAUCAGUAAUGUUUGUAGGGUGAGUGCAUUUUUAAAACAAUUUGUGCAAACUGCACUACAAGGUGGAAUAUUUGCAAAAUCAUGACUACCUCAUGAUAUUUUGUCUCAAAAAAUAACCCUAUGAAUAUGUCAGUACCAUCAGGAUGAAAUUACUGUGUCACCAACAUUUUAAUGUUAGACAUAUAAUUUUAACAGCCUCUGUAAACUAAUAUCCUGGCUUGCCUGAGGCUGCCGUUUUCUCUGACAGUUUCAAUCAAAAUUAGAAAUGCUACUCUGAGACUGAGAUAACUAAUAGUAAUAAGUGUGCCUCUUGGCAUAUGCACACUUAAAUAAUAAAUCCGACGAAUAGUAAUAAGUGUGCCUCUUGGCAUAGGCACACUUAAUAAUAAAUCCUGUUGUGCAGUUAGUUUCCAAAACACGUUAUUCAUGGUUACAUACAAUUUUAGACUGAUGUGGGCCAAAGCCUAGCACAGCCUGUAACGUUAUUAUGAUGGACACAUUUUAUGAGUGAACUUGACUUUAAGUGACUUACAGGUUUCUUUGAAAAAUACUUUCUUAUAUCCAGGUUCUUCCUUUUUGCUGCCAUCCUCCUCUCCUCCUUGCAGGUCCUCACAGCGCAGGCUUGUCGCUGCUAAAACUAAACAGGCUCCCUGAAAGGCACAGCCAAUCACAUUGGCCAUAUUUGUCACAUGAGGUAGGACUCCAGUAGAGAACGUAAUUUAACUCUUUCUGCACUGCUAGGUGAAUGAGACGUUGACAGAUCUUUUUUUUUUCUUUCUAUCGGUUUUGUUUUUCUUUACUCGAAGAGAUCAAAUUAUUGGUGGGAACAAUUCAAUAAUCGCUGGAUAUUGGUGGGGACAUGUCCCUUCCGUCCGUGCUAAAUCUACGCCCUUGGGGUUGCCCAUCUCUGCGUCAGAGUACCAAGUUUAGCUGACUCAAGUACACCAAAGAAUUAUCAUCUGCAUAAACUAUAAAGUUCAGUUCAGUUCAGUUUUAUUUAAGUGACAACAAUCGUCAGACAGAAGACAGCCAGAGAUGAAUAAUUAU
rnacentral:lncRNA from 1 species